rnacentral:rRNA from 1 species
GACGGAGGAUGCAAGUGUUAUCCGGAAUCACUGGGCGUAAAGCGUCUGUAGGUGGUUUAAAAAGUCCACUGUUAAAAAUUGAAGCUUAACUUCAAAGAUGCCGUGGAAACUUUUAAACUUGAGUAUGAUAGGGGUAGAGGGAAUUUCCAGUGGAGCGGUGAAAUGCGUAGAUAUUGGGAAGACCACCAAUGGCGAAGGCACUCUACUGGGCCAUUACUGACACUGAGAGACGAAAGCUAGGGGGAGCGAAUGG